GGGGUCGUAGCCUAGCCUGGUAGGGCGACGGGCUCCAGACCCGUAAGUCGUCGGUUCGAUUCCGAUCGGCCCCA
rnacentral:tRNA from 1 species